GAUGAACGCUGGCGGCGUGCCUAAUACAUGCAAGUCGAGCGAACGGACGAGAAGCUUGCUUCUCUGAUGUUAGCGGCGGACGGGUGAGUAACACGUGGAUAACCUACCUAUAAGACUGGGAUAACUUCGGGAAACCGGAGCUAAUACCGGAUAAUAUUUUGAACCGCAUGGUUCAAAAGUGAAAGACGGUCUUGCUGUCACUUAUAGAUGGAUCCGCGCUGCAUUAGCUAGUUGGUAAGGUAACGGCUUACCAAGGCAACGAUGCAUAGCCGACCUGAGAGGGUGAUCGGCCACACUGGAACUGAGACACGGUCCAGACUCCUACGGGAGGCAGCAGUAGGGAAUCUUCCGCAAUGGGCGAAAGCCUGACGGAGCAACGCCGCGUGAGUGAUGAAGGUCUUCGGAUCGUAAAACUCUGUUAUUAGGGAAGAACAUAUGUGUAAGUAACUGUGCACAUCUUGACGGUACCUAAUCAGAAAGCCACGGCUAACUACGUGCCAGCAGCCGCGGUAAUACGUAGGUGGCAAGCGUUAUCCGGAAUUAUGGGCGUAAAGCGCGCGUAGGCGGUUUUUUAGUCUGAUGUGAAAGCCCACGGCUCAACCGUGGAGGGUCAUUGGAAACUGGAAAACUUGAGUGCAGAAGAGGAAAGUGGAAUUCCAUGUGUAGCGGUGAAAUGCGCAGAGAUAUGGAGGAACACCAGUGGCGAAGGCGACUUUCUGGUCUGUAACUGACGCUGAUGUGCGAAAGCGUGGGGAUCAAACAGGAUUAGAUACCCUGGUAGUCCACGCCGUAAACGAUGAGUGCUAAGUGUUAGGGGGUUUCCGCCCCUUAGUGCUGCAGCUAACGCAUUAAGCACUCCGCCUGGGGAGUACGACCGCAAGGUUGAAACUCAAAGGAAUUGACGGGGACCCGCACAAGCGGUGGAGCAUGUGGUUUAAUUCGAAGCAACGCGAAGAACCUUACCAAAUCUUGACAUCCUUUGACAACUCUAGAGAUAGAGCCUUCCCCUUCGGGGGACAAAGUGACAGGUGGUGCAUGGUUGUCGUCAGCUCGUGUCGUGAGAUGUUGGGUUAAGUCCCGCAACGAGCGCAACCCUUAAGCUUAGUUGCCAUCAUUAAGUUGGGCACUCUAAGUUGACUGCCGGUGACAAACCGGAGGAAGGUGGGGAUGACGUCAAAUCAUCAUGCCCCUUAUGAUUUGGGCUACACACGUGCUACAAUGGACAAUACAAAGGGCAGCGAAACCGCGAGGUCAAGCAAAUCCCAUAAAGUUGUUCUCAGUUCGGAUUGUAGUCUGCAACUCGACUACAUGAAGCUGGAAUCGCUAGUAAUCGUAGAUCAGCAUGCUACGGUGAAUACGUUCCCGGGUCU
rnacentral:rRNA from 1 species